rnacentral:lncRNA from 1 species
UCAGUUUAGAGUUUAAAACUUUAAUGCUGGCUGAAAGGAAAAUUCAGUUUAGGGUUAAAAACCCUAAUGCUGAUUGCAUGAAAAAGCUCAGUUUAGAGUUUAAAACACUAAUGCUGGCUGAAAGGGAAAAGUUCAGUUUAGGGUUUAAAACCCUAAUGCUGAUUGCAUGAAGAACCUCAGUUUAGAGUUUAAAACUCUAAUGCUGGCUGAAAGGAAAAUUCAGUUUAGGGUUAAAAACCCUAAUGCUGAUUGCAUGAAAAAUCUCAGUUUAGAGUUUAAAACUCUAAUGUUGGCUGAAAGGGAAAAGUUCAGUUUAGGGUUUAAAACCCUAAUGCUGAUUGCAUGAAGAAGCUCAGUUUAGAGUUUAAAACUCUAAUGCUGGCUGAAAGGGAAAAGUUCAGUUUAGGGUUUAAAACCCUAAUGCUGAUUGCAUGAAGAACCUCAGUUUAGAGUUUAAAACUCUAAUGCUGGCUGAAAGGAAAAUUC